UAGAAUGGAUAUUUCUGGACAUUGGGUUAA
rnacentral:piRNA from 1 species